rnacentral:rRNA from 1 species
UACGUAGGGUGCGAGCGUUGUCCGGAAUUAUUGGGCGUAAAGGGCUCGUAGGCGGUUUGUCGCGUCGGGAGUGAAAUCAUCUGGCUUAACUGGGUGCUUGCUUUCGAUACGGGCAGACUUGAGUACUGCAGGGGAGACUGGAAUUCCUGGUGUAGCGGUGAAAUGCGCAGAUAUCAGGAGGAACACCAAUGGCGAAGGCGGCUCUCUGGGACGGUACUGACGCUGAGACGCGAAAGCGUGGGGAGCGAACAGG